AUUGAACGCUGGCGGCAGGCCUAACACAUGCCAGUCGAGCGGAUGAAUGGAGCUGGCUCCUGGAUUCAGCGGCGGACGGGUGAGUAAUGCCUAGGAAUCGCCCUUGUAGGGGGGGAUGACGUCCGGAAGCGGGCUCUAAUAUCGCUUACGUCCUGAGGGGGAAAGUGGGGGAUCUUCGGACCUCGCGCUAUCAGAUGAGCCUAGGCCGGAUUAGCUAGUUGGUGGGGUAAAGGCCUACCAAGGCGACGAUCCGUAAGUGGCCUGAGAGGAUGAUCAGUCACACUGCACCUGAGACACGGUACAGACUCCAACGGGAGGCAGGAGUGCGGAAUAUUGGACAAUGCGAUAAAGCCCGAUCCAAACCUGCCGUGUCUCUGAAGAAGGUCUUCGGAUUGUAAAUCUAUUCAAGUUGGGAGGAAGGGCAGUACGUUCAUCCCUUGCUGUUCUGACGUUACCAACAGAAUAAGCACCGGCUAACUUCGUG
rnacentral:rRNA from 1 species